UACGUAGGGUGCAAGCGUUGUCCGGAAUUAUUGGGCGUAAAGAGCUCGUAGGCGGUCUGUCGCGUCGGCUGUGAAAACCUGGGGCUUAACCCCGGGCCUGCAGCCGAUACGGGCAGACUAGAGUUCGGCAGGGGAGACUGGAAUUCCUGGUGUAGCGGUGAAAUGCGCAGAUAUCAGGAGGAACACCGGUGGCGAAGGCGGGUCUCUGGGCCGAAACUGACGCUGAGGAGCGAAAGCGUGGGGAGCGAACAGG
rnacentral:rRNA from 1 species